rnacentral:rRNA from 1 species
AUUGAACGCUGGCGGCAUGCCUUACACAUGCAAGUCGAACGGCAGCGCGGGGCAACCUGGCGGCGAGUGGCGAACGGGUGAGUAAUACAUCGGAACGUACCCAGAAGUGGGGGAUAACGUAGCGAAAGUUACGCUAAUACCGCAUACGUUCUACGGAAGAAAGUGGGGGAUCUUCGGACCUCAUGCUUUUGGAGCGGCCGAUGUCUGAUUAGCUAGUUGGUGAGGUAAAGGCCCACCAAGGCGACGAUCAGUAGCUGGUCUGAGAGGACGACCAGCCACACUGGGACUGAGACACGGCCCAGACUCCUACGGGAGGCAGCAGUGGGGAAUUUUGGACAAUGGGCGCAAGCCUGAUCCAGCAAUGCCGCGUGAGUGAAGAAGGCCUUCGGGUUGUAAAGCUCUUUUGUCAGGGAAGAAACGGCUGAGGUUAAUACCUUCGGCUAAUGACGGUACCUGAAGAAUAAGCACCGGCUAACUACGUGCCAGCAGCCGCCGUAA